rnacentral:rRNA from 1 species
UACGUAGGUGGCGAGCGUUGUCCGGAUUUACUGGGCGUAAAGAGCGCGCAGGCGGUCGUACAAGUCGCGUGUGAAAGCCCCCGGCUCAACUGGGGAGGGUCACGCGAUACUGUUCGACUCGAAGGCAGGAGAGGGAAGUGGAAUUCCCGGUGUAGUGGUGAAAUGCGUAGAUAUCGGAAGGAACAUCAGUGGCGAAAGCGACUUCCUGGACCAAUACUGACGCUCAUGUGCGAAAGCGUGGGGAGCAAACAGG